AGUGUAUUUUGUGGACAUGAUCCUGUUUCUUAUCUUGUCAAUGAUCUUAGCCAAUUGGCCAGCCUGUCUUGGAUUCUUUAAGUGCUUCCUGUCAUUUCCCUCCCUCCACAUCAUAUAGAUGGUGACUUGGAACACUAGUCUAUUGAGGAUGGAUGUGAGGAAAUCAAACCGGUGGUGUGUUAAGUGAUCAAUGCGUCUCGGACUCUUUAAGUGCUUCAUGUCUUUGCGCUUCCUCCUAAUCAGCUUUUGAUUGGAUUCAACUAUAGCUCCAGUAGCAAUUUUAUCGCCUUGGUGCAAAUCUUUACCGCAAUAUGCAUAUCUGCAUCGGUUGGUGCCGUAAACGUGGAUGCAUUAAUGUUAUUUUUUCUCCACUUGUGGCAGAUUCGAAGGAAAAGUGAUAGUAUUUGCUUCGUUACUUUGAACCAAAUGUAUUUGGGUUUUCAUAGUUUGGUGUUCUCCUUUAUGAAACCUAUUUUUCUCCCAGGUCUUUCACUUGGUUAGAGUGAUCGUAUUGCAAGGAGAAUUAUGUCAAUGGAAGUUUUCCGUUUUUAGUUCAUGUAUGAACUUGUUCUCGGGUGUUCCAGAUUCGCCGGUAUUGCAAAGUCUUACCUUCCGGUUUUAUGACGUUUCUGCUAUUUGUCGCAGAGUGUCUAACCCUUUUGGGUGCACAAGUUGCUAUCAUAUCAACGGGUAUCUCGAAGCUUGUCUGCAAGCCAUACUGUCAGAACUCUUUCACCUUCUUUCAGAGAGUUAGUCUUUUGAUGUUUACAUGAUCUUAUUCCCUAUUCGAUCCCUUAUCUUGUCUUUUGAUGACUUAUGUUCUUAUCUUGUGUUUUAUUGUGUUAAUGAUAUGGCAAACUCUUGGGCUUGUGUUGUCGUCUUGUGUUGUAACAUCUCCUUCUCUAAUAUAGUCUGAGACUUCUAAUUUAA